GGCAGAGAGAAGACAGGGGAGGCAGAGAGGAGGCAGAGGGAGAGAGAGGAGACAGGGGAGGCAGAGAGGAGACAGAGAGGAGACAGGGGAGGAAGAGAGGAGACAGGGGAGGCAGAGAGGAGACAGAGAGGAGACAGGGGAGGCAGAGAGGAGGCAGAGAGGAGGCAGAGAGGAGGCAGAGAGGAGACAGGGGAGGCAGAGAGGAGGCAGAGAGGAGACAGGGGAGGCAGAGAGGAGACAGGGAGGAGACAGGGGAGGCAGAGAAGAGACAGAGAGGAGACAGAGAGGAGACAGGGGAGGCAGAGAGGAGACAGAGGAGAGGAGGAGACAGAGAGGAGACACAGGAGGCAGAGAGGAGACAGAGAGGAGACAGAGAGGAGACAGGGGAGGCAGAGAGGAGACAGAGAGGAGACAGGGGAGGCAGAGAGGAGACAGGGGAGUCAGAGAGGAGACCUACAGUAGGUGAGACAGAGGGGAGAGACAGGAAGGAGACAUACAGUAGGUGAGACAGAGGGGAGAGACAGGAGGGAGACA
ensembl:lncRNA